rnacentral:rRNA from 1 species
UACGGAGGGUGCAAGCGUUAUCCGGAUUCACUGGGUUUAAAGGGUGCGUAGGCGGCUAUAUAAGUCAGUGGUGAAAGCCCGCAGCUCAACUGCGGAAUUGCCAUUGAAACUGCAUAGCUUGAAUCUGGUUGAAGUGGGCGGAAUACGUCAUGUAGCGGUGAAAUGCUUAGAUAUGAUGUAGAACACCGAUUGCGAAGGCAGCUCACUAAGCCAACAUUGACGCUGAGGCACGAAAGCGUGGGUAGCGAACAGG